GCAGGUGAGUUGUUACAUACUACUUAGUGGAUUCCGACUCCCAUGGCCACCGUCCCCCUGUCUAAAUCAGC